rnacentral:rRNA from 1 species
AGUGAACGCUGGCGGCAGGCCUAACACAUGCAAGUCGAACGGCAGCACAGGGGAGCUUGCUCCCUGGGUGGCGAGUGGCGGACGGGUGAGGAAUACAUGGGAAUCUGCCCCGACGUGGGGGAUAACGGAGCGAAAGCUUUGCUAAUACCGCAUACGAUCUACGGAUGAAAGCAGGGGACCGCAAGGCCUUGCGCUCAUGG